GAUGAACGCUGGCGGCGUGCCUAAUACAUGCAAGUCGAGCGAACAGACGAGGAGCUUGCUCCUCUGACGUUAGCGGCGGACGGGUGAGUAACACGUGGAUAACCUACCUAUAAGACUGGGAUAACUUCGGGAAACCGGAGCUAAUACCGGAUAAUAUAUUGAACCGCAUGGUUCAAUAGUGAAAGACGGUUUUGCUGUCACUUAUAGAUGGAUCCGCGCCGCAUUAGCUAGUUGGUAAGGUAACGGCUUACCAAGGCAACGAUGCGUAGCCGACCUGAGAGGGUGUUCGGCCACACUGGAACUGAGACACGGUCCAGCCUCCUACGGGAGGCAGCAUUAGGGAAUCUUCCGCAAUGGGCGAAAGCCUGACGGAGCCACGCCGCGUGAGUGAUGAAGGUCUUCGGAUCGUAAAACUGUGUUAUUAGGGAAGAACAAAUGUGUAAGUAACUAUGCACGUCUUGACGGUACCUAAUCAGAAAGCCACGGCUAACUACGUG
rnacentral:rRNA from 1 species